rnacentral:rRNA from 1 species
AUUGAACGCUGGCGGCAGGCCUAACACAUGCAAGUCGAACGGGUGGCGGACGGGUGAGUAAUGUCUGGGCAACUGCCUGAUGGAGGGGGAUAACUACUGGAAACGGUGGCUAAUACCGCAUACAGUCCUAUCUGCCCAGAUGGGAUUAGCUUGUUGGUGGGGUAACGGCUCACCAAGGCGACGAUUCCGAGCUGGUCUGAGAGGAUGACCAGCCACACUGGAACUGAGACACGGUCCAGACUCCUACGGGAGGCAGCAGUGGGGAAUAUUGCGCAAUGGGCGCAAGCCUGAUGCAGCCAUGCCGCGUGUAUGAAGAAGGCCUUCGGGUUGUAAAGUACUUUCAGCGGGGAGGCGUUACCCGCAGAAGAAGCACCGGCUAACUCCGUGCCAGCCGCCGCGGUAAUUC